UAGGAACCCUGGCAGCCGGGUCCAGGGGAUGGAACUAUUAGGUUGCUUCGUGGGUAAGAGGGCUCAGGCCAUGGAAGACGAGGUUUCCCGACAGAAGAGCUGCUGAUGCGAUUGGCUGAAGGUCCACGCUUAAACUGCUGCUCUGCCUACCAGAGUGCACCUGUGGACCGUUUUCAGAUCCUGGAUCUGAUACCUGUCAAUCAAAAUGGCUGACACGUACCGAGGCCCCGUUGUGGGUGACGGUAAUAACUACAGGAUAAGUGAUCAGCAUGUAUUACUCGUACUCAUCUUCCAAGGUAAACUCUUGUUUUUCACGAGACUCUCCAGAAGCUCUGCGAUGGCAGCCUGAGAGGUAGAAACCUUCUGCUCAUCAAACUCCUGGGUGCUGAUCUGUUUACAGUAAGAGAAAGUCGGCAGAGGAGCGAGGAGUCCGUCCCCGGGGCCGGUGAUCUGCGGUGAACCAGGAAGAUGGUAAAAUCGUUAUUCUGCUCACGCUCGUAUGCUCAGUGGUGCUCCCCUAGUGAGACCUCGCACCUACUACCCUGGCAGCAAUAAUAACUCCAGGCACUCAGAAAACCAUGCUAUGCGCUAAAGCAGUCAUAACUCAGGAGGCUCUAAAUUCCAGCUCUAAAACUUGCUACUUUUUUGGUAGCCUUCAGCAAGUUAUUUAACUUCCUUGGUCUGUUUCCUGUCCUUAAAACUGAAGCGAUAUGGGAAAACAUACAUGUAGUGCGGAUCGCACAGAAGUGCAUGGAAAAGGCAGCUAUUAUCCUUUCUUAGCUAUGGAUUUUAUGCGCUUAACUACAGGACAGUUAACAAUUUAAGCAGGGUUUCAUCUUAAAACUUCAGUAUUCUGACUUAAUAAAGUGCUCAGUUGUGCUUUCAAGGCCUCCAGGAACGGGCAAAGCAUACAGAUCUGCCAGCAGGGGAAAGCUGCAGGGAGGGGCCUCAGUGGAGAAGCACAGACACCGUGCUGGCCCGGACCAGCAGGGUCGCCCUGGGUGCUUUCUGGCUACAGCUUUCCUGUUCUCUGCUUACAGUUCCUUCCCCCUGCGCCUCUGCCCUCACCUCCUCUGAAGAACAUGCAUGUCCUGCUCUGACCUGGUGACAGCCAAGCACAACAUGCGCCCUGCUCUGUCCCACUCACCUCUAGCCACCUGGAGGCUGCAUGUUGCACCUAGGCCGGGCCAACCAAGAGUCUGCGCCUAUACCUUUGACAUCCAAGGGGCACAGACAGCUCCUUCUCCUCUGGACUGCAAACCCGAGACCCUGCCACACGGACUGCAGCCACAUUCCUCGCCAUGGCAAGGAACCACUUGGUAAAGACAGGACAGAAAUGGAUGGAAAAGCCAUGGAAAGCUGGGAACAGCCCUAGAGCUCUUGGAGCCUCAGAUUCUGUCCAUAGUCCUGACUGUAGACUAGACUCUAGCUGAGCUGGUCUUUUGUGAUAGAGCUGGUUUGAGACGAGUUUGCCACUGCAAAUGAGGAAGGGGGAUUUGUGAGACUCCCAGUACCUACCUGGCCCUUCUGUAAGCAGUCCAGUUGUUUGUCCACUGCGGCCUGCAAGUAAGAGGGCACCUGAAGAAUCUCCUGCUGAUGAUCCAUUAGGAAGGAAACUAAUCUUGCAGCAAGCAGUUCGUCCAGGUCCACUUCUUCUGCACAGCACAGCACACACCGGGAAAAAGUGUGUAUCAUCUAGAGAGAGCAGGGGGACCCAAACUGAAACACCCAAGGUGUCGCACAGAUCCGCAUGUCUGUAAUUUCCAGACGGCAUUAGGUGAUGUACUGAGAUAAAGUGAUAAGCAGAUUCCAGUUUAAAGCUCAGGACAACAAUUUAUUAGUUACAAAGAUUAAGAAUUUUAUUAGACUUAAGUCCUUUUAAAAGUACUUCUCAGUAUUUAACAGAAUUCAAAAGGGUUCUAUUAGGCUUUGCCUUUUAAUUCUGUCAGUGUCAUCACACCACAAGCUCUAUUAAUACUGUGUGGAUUCAUGCAGAAUGAGGACUUACCGCAGGAAAUAAAUUCCACUAAACAGCAAACAGAAAAGCAACAUACAGAGAACACACUCACCAGAGGUUGUAAAGUUCACAUUAUUCAUCAUGUGAAACUACGUAAGAUAGUGUUAAAUGCUUACUUUAAUGCCCACAUUUUUCAGCUGUAUCAUAAGGAUCUUUAAAACUUGGGAUAAACUGUGGUUCAGAACUCACCACUCUCACUCACAGCCACACCAGCAGCGAACCACACUCCGCACCUCACUGUAGGACUGGAGCAUUAGAACUCUACUGCUUCUUCCCACAGUAGCUGAUGAGGAGACAUGGUGAGUUCGGAGUGUUUCUUAGCAUAUGUUGGGCAGAUGCUCCUUUCUAGUUCCUAGGUUCAUCUCAGCCUUUUCCUCUUUCUGUAUAUUCUUAGCUUCGUAGAAUUCACUGGCUUUCACACCUCCUGCUAUCAUCUCUGUGUGGAUCACUCGGAAGCUGCCUUUUGCCCGGACCUUUCGUUCACUGGCUCCCCUUUCCAAUAUUCUCCUGGGGUAUGUUUCACCUGGACGUCCCACACCUUUACAAGCAGAAUGUGUAAAUCCAAAGCUGUCACCUCCUGAUUCAUUCCCUCAAGAUCUCUUCCCUUACAAACCUAUGCUUUUUCCCAGUGCUGCAAUCCCUGGAGAACGACUGUCCUCUAUGUCAGGACUGUCACUGUUAAAGACCUUCCUGACUGUCUAUACGGGCAGCGGGAAAACCCAGCACCACGCCAGACUCCUUACUAUUCUGGAAGUGGAAUCCUGGUCUCUCACUAUUCCUGGUGCUGCUGAAGGCAUGUGUGUGUGGGGCUAUUUCAAGGGUUCAUUUCCUGUCAGCGCCUACACAGAAAAGGCUGUCUCUUCUCUCAAGGAGCCAGAGGCUCCUUGUCCUUGACCCUCCUCCACAAGGACCUGCUACCCUAAGAGCUCGUCAAAUACAACAUUCCUGCGACCACAGCCUGGGAACGUGUGGCUUACUACACAAGGACUAGCCGUCAUUUUCUACUUUCAGCCUUCACCUUAAGCAGUACUCCAUCUCCUCCUGCCUUCUCACCGGACAGACCGACAGGAGACCUGCUGACCUGGUCUGUCUGGGUCAGCCACAGAAUGAAUGAGGCAAGUCCUCUAUCAGGACUAACAGCGGGUGUGAAAGUGUGACAGAUCGACUCCAGUUCUGCUGCUAGGGGAGAUGAGACUUCACGACUUCCUGACCCAAGGAUGAUCUAGAGGCUCAAGACUGAGAUGUCACUUGAGUAGUACAGUCAAAUAGGGUUAAUUUGUGCUUGUUUGCUUGUUUGUGGGGGAGGUGUUUGUACCAGAGCUCACUCCCCCACAGGAAAGGGGCUUACCAGCGCCCUUGUGCCCAUGGCGUCGUGCAGUAUGGGCAGGUCCACGUUUCCACUCAUGCGGGCCAUCAUGCGCAUGAGGAGCUGGAGCUUCCUACGGUUUGGCGGGGGAAGCAGCAGACAGCACAACUGCAGCGCACUGACGGCGACCCUCUCCAGGUGGGGCUGCAGCAGGCCUGAAGCAGUCACCGGGAGAAAAUCAUCAGUGACGACAGCGGCUUUCACACGACCAGCAAUGCCAUCAUGUGAGAGUGUAAAGUAAUACCUCUGCAUUUAACUAUUUCUAGAAAUUUCCACUUUCUUCAAAACCAUAGUUAGAUUUUCAUUAUUUUCUUCACAACCUAUUUCUAUGUAUUAAAAUCCUUUACUCACUACAAACAAAAUGACUUAAAAUAAGCGAGACUACAAGAAAGGUCAGGUGUUUUAAGGGCAUAGAAUAAAUCUUUGAUAUGUCAUGAUUAGACUUUUAUAAUAAUUUCUUUUGCAAGAAAUAAGUAAAGCAGUGUUGGAGAAGAAAAGCCAAGUGCAGAAAAGCAAAAUGCAGCGUUAGUGAACACUAGAAGUUAGUACCGCAUGCACGGAAAGCAAUGACCUUACUUUGUGUGCCAGUCAAUACAGCAGAAGCUGGAGGUAAAGAGUUUUCUGAGAGUUCUACAGUACUUUUGCACAGUCUUUUAUUGAUUGUGACACAAUCCUCCCUGAGUUCACUUUCCAUGGCUCUGUGCACCCUUGUGCUGCCAUGUCCAAGAGUUGGUUUCAUGACGACUUCCGCCACGGGUGUAUUUACAUAGCUGUUCCGUCUUGAGCUACUCCUUAACAGCAGACUUUGAGACCUGCAAAGUGGUUGGGGCCUGCAGUCCCCAGAACCAGACUCCUCUUGGUCUCUGACAGUCAAAGCAGAAAUUCUUCUGAAGCCGCCACUGCAGAGUGGCUUGUGAGUCCUUCCCCCUGAAUGCAGAUCCAGCAGGGACUCCUGUUUGGGCUCUGACUCUAAACACUGUUCGCUUUUGUGUCGUACUGCACUCAGAACAGAGUGCUGGAAAGCACUGGACACCCUGGCACAGGAAUAGCCCGGUGUAUCUACAAUUCCCUCCAAAGACGAGCACCUUGGCUUGAUGCUAGCGGAUAGAGCACGUGAGCUACUCAAGCCUGUCAGACUGUGACAGCUUCCUCCCAUCCCAUCCCUGGUCCUGACUCUUCUGCUUCUUAGGUUAACUAGCUGCAUUUUCUUAGCAUGUCCUUCUUGAAAUCCAUGAUCACUUAACUGGAGUCUCUCGGGAAAGUCUGAGUCUUCUUUGCUUUUGUCUCUGUGAAGCAGACUGAGAAGAAGACACUCAGUGGACUUGAAGGAAUGCGAACUGGUUAGGUGAAGGGUUUCUGAAGGCUGUGGGUCGUCUUGGAUUUUAUGUGUCCCACUGGGUCUAUCUGAAACUGUGAUGCAGCCACACACAACUACCAGAAAAUGAAACAAAAAUUAAGAUGCAACUGUGUGACAGUGGACAAAAACAAAAAAGUGAAAAAAUAAAGCAUCACAAUAGUAUAUAUUGUUAGUAUAGUAUCAAUAGAAGCUGCUUAAUUUGGAAGCCACUGAAAUAGCACGCAUGCACAACACUUGGUUAUAAACGUGCAGGACUGGCGAGUGGUUUUCCCAUUUGUGAUAUAAGUAACUUAAAAAAUUCAGCCCGAUUAGAUGGAUUGAGUGCGAAUACAUUUAAAAAUACCUGCUCUCGUUCUGUAAGCACUAGAAAUAUCUUAGGUGUAAGACAACUAUGAUGUAAGAGAACAUAUCCUGUCAUCCCCAGGAACCAUGGGAAAUCGUCCUAGGACCCCCUAUAGGUAUUGAAACACCAAAAUACAAGUCUUGUAUCUAAAAUGGUAUAAUAAACACAUGUAUCCCAGGCAUAUCCCUUCACACUUAAAUCAUCUCUAGAUUCCUUAUAAUAAUACAGUAUGAAUAGAUCCCCUAUAAUACAGUAUAAGUAGUAUCACUUUAAGAAUGGGAAAAAAUCUGUACAUACUCAUGUUCGAUACAGUUGCAACUUUUUUAAAAAAAUAAAUGGUUUUGACCCUCAA